AACGAACGCUGGCGGCAGGCUUAACACAUGCAAGUCGAGCGCCCCGCAAGGGGAGCGGCAGACGGGUGAGUAACGCGUGGGAAUCUACCGAGCCCUACGGAAUAACGCAUGGAAACGUGUGCUAAUACCGUAUACGCCCUACGGGGGAAAGAUUUAUCGGGGUUUGAUGAGCCCGCGUUGGAUUAGCUAGUUGGUGGGGUAAAGGCCUACCAAGGCGACGAUCCAUAGCUGGUCUGAGAGGAUGAUCAGCCACAUUGGGACUGAGACACGGCCCAAACUCCUACGGGAGGCAGCAGUGGGGAAUAUUGGACAAUGGGCGCAAGCCUGAUCCAGCCACGCCGCGUGAGUGAUGAAGGUCUUAGGCUUGUAAAGCUCUUUCACCGACGAAGAUAAUGACGGUAGUCGGAGAAGAAGCCCCGGCUAACUUCGUGCCAGCCGCCGCCGUAAGAC
rnacentral:rRNA from 1 species